UACGUAGGGGGCGAGCGUUGUCCGGAUUUACUGGGGCGUAAAGGGUGAGUAGGCGGUUGUAUAUGUCAGGUGUAAAAGGCUAUGGCUUAACCAUGGUUAGCACUUGAAACUGUACAACUUGAGUGCGGGAGAGGUAAGUGGAAUUCCAUGUGUAGCGGUAAAAUGCAUAGAGAUAUGGAGGAACACCAGUGGCGAAGGCGGCUUACUGGUCUGGAAUUGACACUGAGGCACGAAAGCGUGGGUAGCAAACAGGAUUAGAUACCCCGGUAGUCCCUGA
rnacentral:rRNA from 1 species